GACGAACGCUGGCGGCGUGCUUAACACAUGCAAGUCGAACGAGUGGCGAACGGGGGAGUAACAUGUGUGUGACCUUCCCUGCACUUCGGGAUAAGCCUGGGAAACUGGGUCUAAUACCGGAUAGCGUGGGAUGGGCCAGCGGCCUAUCAGUUUGUUGGCGGGGUAAUGGCUACCAAGGCGCGACGGGUAGCCGGCCUGAGAGGGUGGACGGCCACAUUGGGACUGAGACACGGCCCAGACUCCUACGGGAGGCAGCAGUGGGGAAUAUUGCGCAACGGGCGCAAGCCUGAUGCAGCCAUGCCGCGUGUAUGAAGAAGGCCUUAGGGUUGUAAAGUACUUUCAGCGGGGAGGCGUUACCCGCAGAAGAAGCACCGGCUAACUCCGUGCUAGCAGCCGCGGUAAUAC
rnacentral:rRNA from 1 species